rnacentral:sRNA from 1 species
AUGGCGCUGCCAUCACUCCUGCUGUUGGUGGCAGCCCUGGCAGGUGGGGUGCGUCCUCCCGGGGCGCGGAACCUGACGCUGGCGGUGGUGCUGCCAGAACACAACCUGAGCUAUGCCUGGGCCUGGCCACGGGUGGGACCCGCUGUGGCACUAGCUGUGGAGGCGCUGGGCCGGGCACUGCCCGUGGACCUGCGGUUUGUCAGCUCCGAACUGGAAGGCGCCUGCUCUGAGUACCUGGCACCGCUGAGCGCUGUGGACCUCAAGCUGUACCAUGACCCCGACCUGCUGUUAGGUCCAGGUUGCGUGUACCCUGCUGCCUCUGUGGCCCGCUUUGCCUCCCACUGGCGCCUUCCCCUGCUGACUGCGGGUGCUGUGGCCUCUGGUUUCUCGGCUAAGAAUGACCAUUAUCGUACCCUGGUUCGCACUGGCCCCUCUGCUCCCAAGCUGGGUGAGUUUGUGGUGACACUACACGGGCACUUCAAUUGGACUGCCCGUGCUGCCUUGCUGUACCUCGAUGCUCGCACAGAUGACCGGCCUCACUACUUCACCAUCGAGGGCGUCUUUGAGGCCCUGCAGGGCAGCAACCUCAGUGUGCAGCACCAGGUGUACACCCGAGAGCCGGGGGGCCCCGAGCAGGCCACCCACUUCAUCCGGGCCAACGGGCGCAUUGUGUAUAUCUGCGGCCCUCUGGAGAUGCUGCAUGAGAUCCUGCUUCAGGCCCAGAGGGAGAAUCUGACCAAUGGGGAUUAUGUCUUCUUUUACCUGGAUGUCUUUGGGGAGAGUCUCCGUGCAGGCCCCACACGUGCUACAGGCCGGCCCUGGCAGGACAAUCGCACCCGGGAACAGGCCCAGGCCCUCAGAGAGGCCUUUCAGACUGUAUUGGUGAUCACGUACCGAGAACCCCCAAAUCCUGAGUAUCAGGAAUUCCAGAAUCGUCUGCUGAUAAGAGCCCGGGAAGACUUUGGUGUGGAGCUGGGCCCUUCCCUGAUGAACCUCAUCGCUGGCUGCUUCUAUGAUGGGAUCCUGCUAUAUGCUGAAGUCCUGAAUGAGACAAUACAGGAAGGAGGCACCCGGGAGGAUGGACUUCGAAUUGUGGAGAAGAUGCAGGGACGAAGAUACCACGGUGUAACUGGACUGGUUGUCAUGGACAAGAACAAUGACCGGGAGACUGACUUUGUCCUGUGGGCCAUGGGAGACCUGGAUUCUGGGGACUUUCAGCCUGCAGCCCACUACUCGGGAGCUGAGAAGCAGAUUUGGUGGACGGGACGGCCUAUUCCCUGGGUGAAGGGGGCUCCUCCCUCGGACAAUCCCCCCUGUGCCUUUGACUUGGACGACCCAUCCUGUGAUAAAACUCCACUUUCAACUCUGGCAAUUGUGGCUCUGGGCACAGGAAUCACCUUCAUCAUGUUUGGUGUUUCCAGCUUCCUAAUUUUCCGAAAGCUGAUGCUGGAGAAGGAGCUGGCUAGCAUGUUGUGGCGCAUUCGCUGGGAAGAACUGCAAUUUGGCAACUCAGAGCGUUAUCACAAAGGUGCAGGCAGUCGCCUCACACUGUCGCUGCGGGGAUCCAGUUACGGCUCGCUCAUGACAGCCCAUGGGAAAUACCAGAUCUUUGCCAACACCGGUCACUUCAAGGGAAAUGUUGUUGCCAUCAAACAUGUGAAUAAGAAGCGCAUUGAGCUGACCCGGCAGGUUCUGUUUGAACUCAAACAUAUGAGAGAUGUUCAGUUCAACCAUCUCACUCGCUUCAUUGGCGCCUGCAUAGACCCUCCCAACAUUUGCAUUGUCACUGAAUAUUGUCCUCGUGGGAGUUUACAGGAUAUUCUAGAAAAUGACAGCAUCAACUUGGACUGGAUGUUUCGUUAUUCACUCAUUAAUGACCUUGUUAAGGGCAUGGCCUUUCUCCACAACAGCAUUAUUUCAUCGCAUGGGAGUCUCAAGUCCUCCAACUGUGUGGUGGAUAGUCGUUUUGUGCUCAAAAUCACAGACUAUGGCCUGGCCAGCUUCCGAUCAACUGCUGAACCUGAUGACAGCCAUGCCCUCUAUGCCAAGAAGCUGUGGACUGCCCCAGAACUGCUCAGUGGGAACCCCUUGCCAACCACAGGCAUGCAGAAGGCUGACGUCUAUAGCUUUGGGAUCAUCCUGCAGGAGAUAGCCCUUCGCAGUGGUCCUUUCUACUUGGAGGGCCUGGACCUCAGCCCCAAAGGUAAGAGUCAAUCCACUACCCACAGCCUCUUCUUCCUGGGGGAACUCUGUUCUUCAUCCAAACCUUUGAUCACCCUCAGAGAUUGUCCAGAAGGUGCGAAAUGGUCAGCGGCCAUAUUUCCGGCCAAGCAUUGACCGGACCCAACUGAAUGAAGAGCUAGUUUUGCUGAUGGAGCGAUGUUGGGCUCAGGACCCAGCUGAGCGGCCAGACUUUGGACAGAUUAAGGGCUUCAUUCGACGCUUUAACAAGGAGGGUGGCACCAGCAUAUUAGACAACCUCCUGCUGCGCAUGGAACAGUAUGCCAAUAACCUGGAGAAGCUGGUGGAGGAACGCACACAGGCCUAUCUGGAGGAAAAACGCAAGGCUGAAGCUCUGCUCUACCAAAUUCUACCCCAUUCAGUGGCAGAGCAAUUGAAACGGGGAGAGACUGUACAGGCUGAGGCCUUUGACAGUGUUACCAUCUACUUCAGUGACAUUGUUGGCUUCACAGCAUUGUCAGCAGAGAGCACCCCCAUGCAGGUAGUGACACUUCUUAAUGACCUGUAUACCUGCUUUGAUGCCAUAAUUGACAACUUUGAUGUCUACAAGGUGGAGACGAUUGGGGAUGCUUACAUGGUGGUAUCUGGCCUCCCAGGCCGAAAUGGUCAACGCCAUGCACCAGAAAUUGCUCGUAUGGCCCUAGCAUUACUAGAUGCAGUUUCUUCCUUCCGCAUCCGCCACCGACCCCAUGACCAGCUGAGGCUACGCAUAGGGGUCCAUACUGGUAAGGCUGACUCUCACUCCAGCCCUAGUCUCCACCUUUCCCAGACUCUCCCAACCUGUUUCUUCUCAUAGGGCCAGUCUGUGCUGGGGUUGUUGGCCUGAAGAUGCCCCGUUAUUGUCUUUUUGGAGACACAGUGAACACUGCUUCUCGAAUGGAGUCUAAUGGUCAAGCGCUGAAGAUCCAUGUCUCCUCUACCACCAAGGAUGCCCUAGAUGAGCUAGGAUGCUUCCAGCUAGAGCUUCGGGGGGAUGUGGAAAUGAAGGGAAAAGGAAAGAUGCGAACAUACUGGCUCUUAGGAGAGCGGAAAGGACCUCCUGGACUCCUGUAAACCCCCAUUCUUCCCAAGUCAGACAGUCUUCUGCUGCUGGUACCUGGGUGGGCAAUGGCCACCAUGUCUGCACACACCAGAAAUGGACAUUUUCAUAUGCAAUGGAAAACAGCCACAAAAAAACCUACCUUAUAUGGAUGUUGUAGCCCUCUGCAGCUCAGCCCUGUACAUAUACCUGUCCCUCUCUGGCUUGGUCCCCUUCCUCCCUACUUUCUGUAAAUAUCUGUAUCUAAACCAGAAUAUUUUGGUCAAAUAUAAAACAAUAAUAAAAAAAGUUCUGAUGUCAU